rnacentral:rRNA from 1 species
AGAGUUUGAUCCUGGCUCAGGAUGAACGCUAGCGGCAGGCCUAAUACAUGCAACUCGAACGGGAUUCGGGGCUUCGGUCCCGAUGAGAGUGGCGCACGGGUGCGUAACGCGUGAGCAACCUGCCCAUAUCAGGGGGAUAGCCCGAAGAAAUUCGGAUUAACACCGCAUGAGAUUAUAAGAUGGCAUCAUCAAGUAAUUAAAUAUUUAUAGGAUAUGGAUGGGCUCGCGUGGCAUUAGCUAGUUGGUUGGGUAACGGCCGACCAAGGCGACGAUGCCUAGGGGCUCUGAGAGGAGAAACCCCCACACUGGUACUGAGACACGGACCAGACUCCUACGGGAGGCAGCAGUAAGGAAUAUUGGUCAAUGGGCGGGAGCCUGAACCAGCCAUGCCGCGUGCAGGAGGACGGCCCUACGGGUUGUAAACUGCUUUUGCCAGGGGACAAACCCCCGCUCGCGAGCGGGGCUGAGGGUACCU